UUAUCUUUCCUAUCCUGUAUCGUGUAGUUUGUUCAGAUGUUACCAUUACUGCAUAACUUGCUGAAAGUUGACCCUCGGCACCUGUUGUGCAGGCGGGAUCCUUGUGUGGUGUACAGGAUAGUUUUCUGUCGUCAUUGAGUACUGUGACUAACGGUUGUUCCUGUGUAGUCAUUUCCUCUGUAUGUUGAGCGGUAUAUUCUCCGUUCUCUUCGGUGUUGUUGGUUGUAUCUACAUCUGGGUAAUUUUCUAGACAUUUUUUUUGAGCGGGUUCUCCGUUCUCAGUUGUCGAUGGAGUGGCCUUCUUAGCUAUAAAAGCUUCUAGACGGCGUUUAGUCCUGUCUGUUCUAGCUUUUGAUGACCUUUCUGUGUCUUUUGUAAUGUAGGUGACUCGGUCUGCUCUUCAUGUUGUCUGGACUUUUUAUACGACCGCAAAAAAAUUUUGUGGUCGUAUAUUGGUAUGACGUUGGCGUCGUCGUCGUCGGCGUCGUCGUCGUCGUCCGUCGUCGUCGUCCGAAUACAUAUUGGUUUUCGCACUCUAACUUUAGUUUAAGUGAAUGGAUCUUUUUGAAAUUUGACCAUAAGGUUAAAUACCACAAAAGGAAGGUUGGGAUUGAUUUUGGGGGUUAUGGUACCAACAGUUAAGGAAUUAGGGGCCAAAAAGGGGCCAAAAAUGAGCAUUUUCUAGUUUCCAGACAAUAACUGUGGAAAGGUGUAUGGAUCUCUCUGAAAUUAUACUACAAGUUUCCAUACCACAAAGGGAUGGUUAGGAUUUGCUUUGGGGGGUAUGGCUCAAACCGUUUAGGAAUUAGGGGCAAAAAAGGGGGAAAAACAAGGUUGUCCUGGUUAAUGGACAAAUACUUUAGUACAAAACAUAAUUUAAAGCAGUGUAAGGGAGAUAAAUCAAAUACAUCAUUGAAAUUAUCUCCCUUACACUGCUUUUAAAUUAUGUAUAAAGUAAUGGUUAAUGAACAAUAAAGAUAAUCUAAAACAGUGUAAGGGAGGUAAUCCAAAUACAACGUUUUGGUUACUUCCCUUACACUGCUUUUAAAUUAUGUUUAAAGAAAUGCAUAUUUAUAAAGGAAGACCAGUAAAAAUAUCUGCAAAUGUUUUCAUCUUUUUUUUUUACAAAAAAAUCCAUAUGAAAGAUUUGACACUAUAUUUUUAUUAAUUCUAUUAUAAAAUAGAUUAAGUUAGCACUAUGGUAAAUUUAAAUGGGUAAUUAUGGUUGCCAACUCCAUUGGAAAUUUGAAUUAAGAUUAUGACCAUAUCUUGAGGGAAAGAAUUUUUUUGGGGGAAAAAGGGGGGGGGGAAUAAAAAGAAAUUGUGGGGGGCCAAUUUUUUCUCAUUUCAGAUUUCAGAAAUUAAAAAGAAUUAUUCUUCAAAUAUUAUUUUUUUUUCAAAUUUCAAAUAUUGAAAAAUUUCAAGAAGUAAUCUUUAAUUGCACAGUAUGGCGCAUUAGAUUUGUAAAAUCUUUGAUCACAUUUAUUUAUUUGUUAUGCCGAAUCUAACAGUGUAUUUAGAUUUUUAAUUUUGGGUCCAGUUUUCAAAUUGGUCUACAUUAAUGUCCAAAGGGUCCAAAAUUAAACUUUGUUUGAUUUUAGCAAAAAUUGAAUAUAUGAGGUUCUUUGAUAUGCUGAAUCUAAACAUGUAUUUAGAUUUUUGAUUUUUGGCCCAGUUUUCAAGUUGGUCCAAAUUGGGGUCCAAAAUUAAACUUUGUUUGAUUUCAACAAAAAUUGAAUAUAUGGGGUUCUUUGAUAUGCUGAAUCUAACCAUGUAUUUAGAUUUUUUAUUUGUGGACCCCGUUAUCUAAUUGGUUCAUAUUGAGGUCAAAAGGGUCCAAAAUUAAACUUUGUUUGAUUUCAUCUAAAAUUGAAUUAUUGGGGUUCUUUGAUAUUCCAAAUCUAACCGUGUAUUUAGAUUUUUAAUUUUAAGUCCCGUUUUUUAAAUUGGUCUACAUUAAGGUCCAAAGGGUCCAAAAUUAAACUUAGUUUGAUUUUAGCAAAAAUUGAAUUCUUGGGGUUCUUUGAUAUGCUGAAUCUAAACAUGUGUUUAGAUUUUUGAUUAUGGGCCCAGUUUUCAAGUUUGUCCAAGUUGGGGUCCAAAAUUAAACUUUGUUUGAUUUUAACAAAAAUUGAAUAUAUGGGGUUCUUUGAUAUGCUGAAUCUAACCAUGUAUUUUGAUUUUGGACAUUGGACCAUAAUAGGUAAAUUAAAAAAAUUGAAGUUCUUAGACCACAUUCUUUCUGUGUCAGAAACCUAUGCUGUGUCAAAUAUUUAAUAACAAUCCAAAUUCAGAGCUGUAUCAAGCUUGAAUGUUGUGUCCAUACUUGCCCCAACUGUUCAGGGUUCGACCUCUGCGGUCGUAUCAAGCUGCGCCCCAGCGAAGCAUUUUAUUCCAUCUUA